rnacentral:misc_RNA from 1 species
GUUGAACCAGAUUCUGCCUCUAACCUAGACCGGCCUGAUGAGUAUGGUCAUCAAAGUCCACCACAAUUCUCUCUGGAGAACUCCGAUGAAUCAAACGAACUGACUGAGCAGGUGUUCACUGUUGAAGAACCUGAUUCAGCCAGCGCUUCUGAAUCUAAUAGAGUAGAUAACAUCACUGAUGAUGAAUAUCUUAGUUAUGCAACUUCUUCAGAGGAAUCCGAUGACAGUGUGUCUUGUGAAACUCCUAUUCAUGUUAAUACCAAGGCAAGAA